rnacentral:lncRNA from 1 species
ACUGACUGCAUUGCUUGCUUAAAUGAUGUAGGAUGUUCUUCCUCUAUUGCUGAUUCUACUUCCAUAUUGUAAACAUAAGUCAUUUGGGAUUUCAGUCUUUCUUUCUCUCCCAGACCUUCUUAAUACUCUGUAGUCAUAUGGGAUCGCAGACCUUCCUUCUCUCCCAGACCUUCUUAAUGCUGACUUCCUGGGAUUGCAGUCUUUCUUUGUCUCCCACACUCUCUUACUACUGGUCAUCUGGGAUUCCAAAUUUCCUUUCUCUCCCAGACUUUGAUGCUGGUGCUGCAACUUGCAUUUCUGCAUUUUCUGGUCUUACUAUCUCUGGUAUCCCUUUGAACUGCUGUAUCCAUAUCAUCAUCAACACUCUCUGUUAGUCAUUCAUUUCAUCACAAAAAUACGAUCCAACUUGUACUCUUGCUUCUGCCUUGCUUGGAGUUCUUUUACAAACACAUUUCACAGUCUUCAAUUCUUCUCCCACUUGAAAUUUUGGUAUUGCAGAUGUUAGAAUUUCUGAUUCCCUUAAUCCAUAACCAUGUAUUUCUUUGCCAGUGAACAGAUGCCCAAAACACGGGGAGGAGACAUGACUAUGCUGGUAUCCCUGUAAAUCUCCAAACCUGCUUUAUGAUUCCCAAAUCUUGAUAUCCCUAUUUUGGAUACAGCAUGAUGCUCACGACCAUCCAAAUUCAUCCAAAGCACAAAUAGUCUGGUAGCCAAUCUAAGCAUUCCAUUCAUACAUAUCUUGAAAUCAUCAAGUUCUACGCCAACAAAUUCCUUUCUGCUAUCUCAUGAAAAACUUGCUUGGCACAUCCAAUAUCCAUACGCAUGCAUAUCAAUCAAUGAAUUAUGAACCUCAUCAUCCUUAAUGCAUCCUUCUUUCAUAUCCUUAAGCACACAUCCUCCUGCAUUUUUCUGAUUUCCUGUACCUUUAUUUUACCAAAAGCUUUAUCAAUGUUUCCAUUACAUCAACCUCUGUAAUUCCGAAUUCCGAAUUGGGUCAGGACUUUUAUCAAACACCUGGUGUGCACUAAAUCUCUGUCCACCAAUCUUACCAAACUUGAGCACUAAACCUCCAACUUGUUGACAUAUUCAUAAUUAAGCACAAAUCAUGUACAAAACAACAUACACACCUAUCCCACUAUAGCAUCUAGUAGCAUACUUCUUUUCAAAUCUUGAAACUAAAAUAUCUGGAUAUUUCUCAUGUCCAAAAUACUGAAACCAAAUCAAUGAUAGAAAUUACCCGAUACCAAAAUAUUGCUGUUAGCAGACGUCUGAGCAAUCUGUUUCACCAAUUACUGACUCCAUUAUCAUCUUGAUUUGGACUGAAAAUACUUCAACUUGAUCAAAAUGACAUCCUAUCUUCAAAAGACCAAUAACCCAUUACAGUUGCUGCAUCACAGUUCUUCCAAAAGUGACUUUGUCGCCAUCCAAUACGGGUCUGAUCUUCAGCGAUUAUGCUUGAGAAAUUUCAGUUCAUCUGGUACGCUUUCCUUCGUGCCUAAAACUCUAUUUUGUUGAGGGCUCUACUAACUCAUAUCCUUGUAAAUAUAAAUAUAGACCUGUCAGACCUCUAUGCCAUCCUUGCUUUAUAUGUCUUCCAAAUACUCACUACUUCAGUCAGACCUCACCUUUAAUUACAAUGCUAUUCACAACUGAACUAUUAAAACCAAAUCCGUAUCGUUUGCUUAAGCUACAAUCUGCAGCCUAAAAAUUCCAAAAAAUUGCUAAAACAACACAAAUACUUCCUUGAAGUUGUUAAUCUGAUGAAAACUGAAAUAUACAAUCUUCAGGCCUUCUUCCUGUUAACUAUAUAUUCAGUUUUAAGGCUGUGAUCAUGACUUUGGCAAAAACCCCAAGAGCUGUUGCAAAAGUAAACUCAUUCUAGCCAAUAUGAGCCUUUUCAUUCCAUUGAACAGUGCUGAAACUUCAUCUUUGAGCCAAAACGACAUGACUUCACUUGUCAUAAAAAUCCAUGAAUCUGAAAUCUGUGCUAUCAUAUUUCAAACACCUGCCUUGUAAGAUAAAUGUCCACAUUCACAUGUUUCUCUUACUCCACCACAAGCUUGAAGUUAGUGACUUCAUCAUUCUGAAAACUUUCUAUUUCCUUCCUAUCCUUGAGAUGGGGAUAGCUGAAAAACUUUUCGUCCUAAUAACCACUGGUAAAGAUACAUAAAUGCCUCCCUUAUAGUUGUAAACAAUGCUUCUGAUGGAUCCUUAAUUCUCCAUAAUAUGAUCACGAUAAAUUGCACUUCAAAUUGAUCAGUCUAAAGUUUCUAGUGUAUCAUAAUACUAGAAUAUUCUGAAUGUCCCAAAAGAAUGAAAAUCCAUGAUUUGAAUGUCAUUCAUACCAGAUCAUAUAAAAGAAAAUGAAAACUCAAACACUUUCUACAUUUGUGGUGUAUGCAUCUCUAGUGAAAUCUAAAUGCUCCAAGUUCUGCUAUAUGCACAAUCAUAAACCAAUGCUUGAUACAUUUCUUUGGAAAUUAAUAUCAAUUAAUUUAAAGUUUUAUGAUGUGAUCUUUA